CCUUGCAAUGAAAGGUGUCCUAAUAGACAUUAUUCAGAAAACAGAACAUCUGUGAAGGUUUCCACACAAGAUUAUACAGUGAUCAGUGUGACAUUACAGGAAGAACGUUCUGAUAUCCCAGUGAAAGCUGCACUGAAAUAGACAAGUUUGAAAGAGCAAAGGGAGAGGGCACACUGGGGAUGAUACCACACUAGUUUGGAUGAGAGAUGAAUCUUUAAGUAUGGCAGUGUGAAUAUGGAAAUGCAGAGAAACUGAGAAACAUCACCAAAGUUAAAUAGAAAUGCCUCUUCAAUGUUGACAGCUAAGUGAGAAAUAUCAUUUUACCUAUAAUUUAUGCUCUGCUCAUUUCCUCUUAUACAUGGUGGAGCAUGCUAACGUGAAUUUCCAACUGAACUCUAUGUAGAAAUUGUUCUUUACGUGGUCCUGGCAUGGAACUGAUAAUACCCAGGACUCCAUUAUUUGAGAUUACCCAUUAUCCAGUUGUUGGGGCCUUACCAUGGUGGGGUGCUAACU
rnacentral:lncRNA from 1 species